UUUCCUCAAACAAAAGGGGGAAUGAUACCUUUGAGCGUCGCCGUUCUAGUACUUUGCAGUUUGCGUUAAUCCGUUUCCCUUGCCCGGAGUCGGAUUUCCCUCCCUCUCUGAUCUACUGUCUAUCCAAACGAAGCAACAAAACUGGCGUGAGAGGAGACGAUGCUUUCCCUCUACAGUUGCUCAACUUCCUUGGCAAAAUCAUUUAUAUUUCAAUCCUCGCCUCCUUUCUUCUGCUUCUCCCCUAGAAACCCUAGAACUCCCUCCAGCUCCUUGAGAAUAUGCUUCGUAGCCAGUUCCAGUUCUGGUUCCACAAACUCCGAUGAAGACAAAGAAGACCUCGCCGGCCGCAGAGCCAAUUUCGGCGGAGUUCAGUUGGAGGAUACCGUGUCUCUCAAUUCAGGUAAGCUGAGGCUUGAUUCAUGGAUAUCUUCUCGCAUUGGUGGAAUCAGUAGGGCUCGCGUCCAGUCAAGUAUUCGCUCCGGCCUCGUUGCUGUCAAUGGUCGCGUUGUAGAUAAGGUCUCGCAUAACGUCAAAACUGGAGAUAAGGUGAAUUGCACUAUUUCAGAGUUGCAACCCUUAAGGGCUGUGCCGGAAGACAUACCUUUGGAUAUAGUUUUUGAAGAUGAGCACGUACUAGUUGUUAACAAACCUGCACACAUGGUUGUUCAUCCAGCACCUGGGAAUGCUACUGGCACACUUGUAAACGGAGUUCUUCAUCAUUGCAGUCCUCCUGUGGUUGCAUUUUCAAACGAAGAAGUUCUUUCUGAUGCUGAGGAUAUUUCUGAUGAUGAGUUGAGCAGCUUUUCUACAGAGCAAAAUCCUAACGGUGGGCUUUAUUCAAGAAGAAGUGGGGCAUCUAUACGCCCAGGGAUUGUGCACAGAUUGGACAAAGGCACUAGUGGAUUACUUGUUGUUGCAAAGGAUGAACACUCUCAUGGUCAUUUAUCUGAACAAUUCAAGCUACAUACCAUCCAAAGAUUAUACGUUAGUCUUACUUCUGGAGUGCCAUCGCCAAUGGCUGGACGGGUCGAGGUUCCUAUUGGUCGUGAUUUAAAUAAUCGGAUUCGCAUGGCUGCUAUACCUGGAUCAAAUAUUUCUAGACAGGCCCGUCAUGCUGCUAGUAGGUACAAAGUAAUUGAAAUACUUGCUGGUGGCGGUUCUGCAUUGGUUGAGUGGAGAUUAGAAACCGGACGCACUCAUCAGAUCCGUGCACAUGCGAAGUACUUGGGGAUUCCACUUUUAGGUGAUGAGGUGUAUGGAGGGACCAAGAGCAUGGCUUUAUCACUGCUUCGCCCUAGAACCCCACCUAGCCGUUAUGGGCAACUUUUGCAACUGGUUUCUCGAUUGGAGCGGCCUUGCCUCCAUGCCUUGGCUCUUGGGUCGGAGGAUAUAGUAGCUAAGUUUGCAAUAUUUGUUCACAAAUUGUGGUACAGAAUGGUUACUCCCCCACCACUGUUUUUUUUCCUCAGGUUCAUGCAUCCACACACAAUGGAGAAUGUAUAUUUUCAAUGCCCUCCACCUGCAGAUUUUGCUGAGAUCCUGGGCCAGCUUCGUAAAAUCGGCACAGUGAAGCAUUCAUUUGAGGAAUGAUUGAAUUGAUAUAGCAAGCUUACGGUGUUGUCACAGUCUCAAUAGCCAACUUUGGAUUGGUGAGUGAAGAUUGGCUGUGCAGAAGCUGAUAUUGGAAGUGAUGGCGAUCGUUGCUACAGUAUGCUUGCUAAUAUCAUUAGAGACGGGCACCGUGGGUUCUCCAAGUGGCGUUAGUGCCCCUAGGCCAUGUCUAUUCCAAAUUGGGAGGGAGUACAGGCAUGCGCAAUCUGGCCAAACCUUGGGCCUCAGAUUAUCGGGCUAGCUUCAGGGGAAAUUAUGUGGACUCGAGCAAAUAUGGCAUAAAUUAUAUUUGUUUUUAUUUCCCAAUUCUUUUUGUAUCAAAAGACUAAGAAGAGAUGGUAGGAGAGGAGUUAAAUGUUGGCCAAUAUGUGAUCUCUACAGUGUAAAUGAAUAGAGUUAGUACCAUUAAAGGCCAUCUAAUUGGAAACAUCAAUAAUUUUAAAGCUUCA